rnacentral:rRNA from 1 species
GAUGAACGCUGGCGGCGUGCUUAAUACAUGCAAGUCGAGCGAACAGACGGGGAGCUGGCUCCUCUGACUUUAGCGGCGGAGGGGUGAGUAACACGGGGAAACCCUACCUAAAAGACUGGGAUAACUUCGGGAAACCGGAGCUAGUACCGGUUAAUAUUUUGAGCCGCAUGUUUCAAUAGUGAAAGACGGUUUUGCUGUCACUUAUAGAGGGAUCCGCGCCGCAUUAGCUAGUUGGUAAGGUAACGGCUUACCAAGGGGACGAUGCGUAGCCGACCUGAGAGGGUGAUCGGCCACCCUGGAACUGAGACACGGUCCAGACUCCUACGGGAGGCAGCAGUAGGGAAUCUUCCGCAAUGGGCGAAAGCCUGACGGAGCAACGCCGCGUGAGUGAUGAAGGUCUUCGGCUCGUAAAACUCUGUUAUUAGGGAAGAACAAAUGUGUAAGUAACUAUGCACGUCUUGACGGUACCUAAUCAGAAAGCCACGGCUAACUACGUG